rfam:Lactobacillus jensenii JV-V16 chromosome, whole genome shotgun sequence.
UCACAUCUGCAACCGCACAUGCUAGGUCACAAGUCUUUCAUGUGAAGGCACCUGGCUUGGCGAGUCUAAGUAUUUUU